rnacentral:rRNA from 1 species
GACGAACGCUGGCGGCGUGCUUAACACAUGCAAGUCGAACAGUGGCGAACGGGUGAGUAACACGUGAGUAACCUGCCCUCCACUUUGGGAUAACUCCGAGAAAUCGGGGCUAAUACUGGAUAGUGGGGGAUGGGCUCGCGGCCUAUCGGUUUGUUGGUGAGGUAGUGGUCACCAAGGCGUGAGGGGUAGCCGGCCUGAGAGGGCGACCGGCCACACGGGGCCUGCGGCACGCCCCAGUCGCCGACGGGAGGCAGCAGUGGGGAAUAUGGCACAACGGGCGAACGCCUGAUGCAGCGACGCCGCGUGGGGGAUGACGGCCUUCGGGUUGUAAACCUCUUUCAGCGAGGAAGCGGUACUUGCAGAAGAAGCGCCGGCUAACUACGUGCCAGCAGCCGCGGUAAUUC